AAAUCCCCAAUCUUUGGACGGAGACGAAACCCUAAUCUCUUCUCUCUCUCUCCCUCGCUCUCACACACACCAUCUUCGAAUCCCCCCUAUAAUUUGCCCAAUAAUUGCUCCAAUUAGAUUGUAAUAUUAUGCUUCAAUCUCCCCGUUCCCACGGCGAAUCCGAAGAAUCGGACGCGGCGUUCUUGAAUUAGGACCAUGGAUUUCAAGAAGUGGCUUUUCUGCCGGUUGGUAUCUAAGAAAUUGUUGUCAGCGAGGCCUUUCAGCUUCUUUGAUGAGGAUUCUCCGAAUGGAGAACCUGGAGUUCAAGGUACAGUAGAGAGAACUAACAUGGUGGGAACAGGAUAUGCCAGUAGUGCUAAUUCCGAUUAUGACCAAGUAACAGAAUUAUCAGCCUCUUCUCAGCUGGUUUCGACUUCAACUUCUGAUCCUGCUCAAUACGAAUGCGAUGAUAAGGAUGCAGAUCCUUUAAAAAGAGUCGAGUCUCUCCAAAUCAAGUUCUUGCGCCUUGUUCGUAGAAUAGGAGAGUCACCCGAAAAUAAUGUGGUUGCACAGGUUCUAUACAGAUUGCACCUCGCUAGCUUAAUUCGAGCAACUGAUUCAGAAAUAAAGAGGACUUGUCUUAAGAUCAACAAAGCUAGGGCUAUAGCAGCAGAGCAGGAGGCAACUAAUCGACCCCCCCUCGACUUUUCGAUCAAGAUUCUUUUAUUGGGCAAAACUGGUGUGGGCAAGAGCGCAACCAUAAACGCAAUCUUUGAUCAGGAAAAGGUAAUUACUGAUCCAUUCCAACCUUCCACUGACAAAAUCCAAGAAGUUUCUGGAAACAUUAAAGGAAUUAAUGUCACAGUUAUUGAUACACCCGGUCUUUCACCUCCCCAUGGUAAUCAAAGAAGAAACAGGAAGAUCAUGCAAGAAAUUAGAAGUUUCAUUCGAAAGUCUCCGCCUGAUGUUGUUUUAUAUUUUGAGCGGCUAGAUCUCACUGGCAGGAAUUACAAUGAAUAUCCGCUUUUCAAGCUUAUAACUGAAGUCUUUGGUUCUUCGAUCUGGUUCAGUACUGUUCUUGUUAUGACACAUGCUUCCUCUCCUCUUCCUGAAGGGGCCGACGGCUAUCCUGUGAAUUAUGAAGCGUUGGUUCACUAUUGGACAAACAUGAUUCAACAUUAUAUACACCAAGCUGUUUCUAGCACUCAGCUUGAUAAUCCUGUAAUAUUAGUUGAGAAUCAUCCAAUGUGUAAAACAAACAACAAAGGCGAAAAAGUUCUCCGAAGUGGCCAAGCUUGGAUUUCCAGAUUCUUGCUGUUGUGUACAGCUACAAAGGUAUUGGGCGAAGCGAACUCUCUUCUAAAAUUUCAGGAUAGCUUUCAAUUAACACCAGCAAGCAACAGAGUGCCCUCGAUGCCCCAUCUCCUCUCUUCACUCCUUAGGCCCCAUUCUUUAGCUAAUUCCGGGGGCAUGGAGAGUGAAAUGGAUGAUCUCUCAGAUAAUGAUGAGGAUGAAUACGAUCAGCUACCUCCAAUUCGAAUACUAACCAAAACCCAAUUCCAGAAAUUAUCUGAGAAUCAGAAAAAGUCUUAUCUUGAUGAGUUGGACUAUCGCGAGACUCUUUUUCUAAAGAAACAAUGGAAAGAAGAAGUUAGAAAGCAAAAGAUGGCCAUGGUUCAGGAUAAUAAUGAUACUUCAAAUGACAGUGAGGAUUACGAGAAUCCUUCCGAAGAGGCUAUGCAAGUAUUGGAUAUAGCAAUUGCUCAAAGUUUUGACUCUGAGAAUCCAGCCUAUAGAUAUCGCUGCUUAGUAGGUAAUGAUCAGUGGCUUUCGAGGCCUGUUUUGGAUCCUCAAGGAUGGGAUCAUGAUGUUGGGUUCGACGGGAUCAAUAUAGAGUUUUCUCGAGAUGUAAAGAGAAGGACUUAUAUUUCUCUCGCAGGACAAAUGAGAAAGGAUAAAGAAGAUUUUACUAUCCAAUCGGAAUGUGCGGCAAAUUACAUGGACCCAAGUGGCCACUCCUUACACAGCGGACUGGACAUUCAAACCGCCGGUAAAGAAUUGGUUUCCACUCUUCGUAGCGAUGCUAGAUUCCGCAAUUUAUCCUUCAACACAAUGGGAGCUGGGCUUUCCGUUACUAAAUUUGGUGAUAUGUAUUUCUUCGGGGCAAAAGUUGAGGACUCGAUUUCGUUAGGAAAGAGAUUUAAGCUGACAAUGAACACUGGUCGGAUGGGGGGCGGCGGUCAAGUGGCGUACGGGGGAAGUUUGGAGGCAACAAUAAAGGGGAAAGAUUAUCCUGUAAGGGAUGAGAAGGUAAUUUUGGCGGGCACCAUCCUCUCCUUUGAGAAAGAGAUGGUUUUGGGCGGCAGUUUUCAGUCGGAUUUCCGAGUUGGCCGUGGUUCAAAAGUUUCUAUUAGUGGUAAUCUCAAUAGUAGAAGAUUAGGUCAGGUUUCUGUGAGGACCAACACAUCGGAACAUGUUCAGAUUGCGCUGAUAGCAGUGGUUUCAUUGGUCCAGGCCUUCUUUCGGAAAAAGCCAAUGGAUACUGCAGAUUGAUUGCUGCAACAUGGUAGGAACAGUUAGUACAUAACCCCCUAAUAGUAAUCAAAUAAUCUUUUUUUUUUUCCUUAUUGUUUCAUUAUUCAGCAAAGAGCCCGAUUGUCUUAUUAUUCGUGCGGGAGAAAUCUUGACCGAGAAGGUUUUUUGAUCCUUUUGGAGCCCCGGUGAUUCACAGUGUAGAGUAGAGUUAUUAAGAGAGGUUAUAGGGUAUAAGGUGAGUUCAGCUUUCGGUCGAGUGAUAUCCUGGAGUACCGAAUAAGCUCGAAGAUUUUCAGGUAAUGAGUUGUUUAUUAGUGAAUUGAUGGUGAAAUGCAUCUUAUUUUCUCAGUUAACUUCUCAUGCGAUUAAACAUCCAAGUUGUGCUAUACAAGGUUGAAAUUGUUUGGCUUUGUUA